rnacentral:rRNA from 1 species
UCGGAUUGUAGGCUGCAACUCGCCUACAUGAAGUCGGAAUCGCUAGUAAUCGCGGAUCAGCAUGCUGCGGUGAAUACGUUCCCGGGCCUUGUACACACCGCCCGUCACACCAUGGAAGUCGGUAAUGCCCGAAGUCAGUAGCCUAACCGCAAGGAGGGCGCUGCCGAAGGCAGGAUUGAUGACUGGGGUGAAGUCGUAACAAGGUAUC